CUCCUGUGCUGAGCACUCCCCAUCUGGACGCAGCGCUCCAGUCAAGAAGGAAGAAGGAGAGAAGGAGAGGAAGAAGUGAGCUUGAGCUCUGCCAACACUGUCAGAGGUGGGACAGCGAGAGCUGAGAUUUGUCUCUGCUGGAGACCAGUGGAAUCUCCUGUGGCUGGAAAAGAACUUCUGGGACUACUCCUCUGGCCAGAGGUGAACAAAACAAGCCACAGUUUUCUGUCAAGUGGAAUGUCAUAAUUACCACUGCUACCACUCUUUGGCAAACUGGCAACUAAGCCAGUUGGUAAUUUACAGAUCGGUGCUUUUACCCAGUGCCUUUACACAUUUAUAUCUAUUUUAUAAUCAAGAGUUCAUUGUUUAUACAACAUUAUAAAGUGUAAUAACUUGCACUUUGGAUUUGUUUUCUAUAUAUUUUACAUAAAUUUCAUGAGAACACUGAAUUAGUUUGUUAGAAUUAAUAAAACCCUGAAAAGUUAGAAGUCAUGUUUUAUACCAUUCUGGGUUUUGCUUGAAUAUAUCUCAAACUAAUACACAAGUACAAAACUUAAACAGUUACGUAGUUUUUAGUUCAAUACAUUCUGUAAUGAAUUUGCGUGAGAGAAAGAGCAAGAAUUAUUUGAAAUCUGAAGAUCUGCGUUUCAAGUCAUGCCCUGGAGAUGGUAGCUGUUCUUCUGCUAACAGCAACGCUUCGUGCUUCAGUGGAGGGAAAAGAUUAGCCUAGGAAGUAGCUUGUUGCUGAGUGCAUCAGAAGUGCAGUGUCUCAGGUCUCUGAGCACAUACCCUAAGCGUUCCUCUUCAGAGGCUGCCGCUUCAGAUCUUACAUAAGAACACUUUGACUUCAUACCUCAGUUUUGCUUCAGGACACAAAUCUUCUCUAUAUCUUCUCCUGAGCAUCAUUCACUCUUAAGAAAUUUAUCCUCUGUGAAAAUAAACCCUUUGUUAGGAGAGAGCAACAGAUAGAUGACCACAUAUAUGACAUAUGAUCUAUGCACACUAAUCAAAUGAAAGUGCUUUAAUCAUAAUUUGAAACUGUAGAUAAGUUUCAUUAAACAAAGUUUUACACUUUUUUUAAAAUACCUAAUGCACUGACUAUGAACUUACUUGCAAUUUGGAGGAGCCAAACAUAUAGGGCGCAUUAAAGCAAUAGGUGCACAAUACUUUUUGUCUCAGAAAUGCUGGUGGCUAAGCUGCUGUUGUCUAUCCCAUGUGACACCAAAAGUGAUAGGAGUAUAUUGUUGUCCCAGAAAACUGCCAAUCUCACGUAGGUAUCUUGAGGUGGCAGAUGGUCAUGUCUUUGUAACAACGGUACAAAUGAUCAUGCGGUUUAUUUUUAGUGAUGUAAAUUUGGAAAAGCAAAUCCAGGUGCUCGGGGGAAAAUAUAAACUUGAAGGAG